rnacentral:rRNA from 1 species
UGGGGAAUAUUGCACAAUGGGCGCAAGCCUGAUGCAGCCAUGCCGCGUGUAUGAAGAAGGCCUUCGGGUUGUAAAGUACCUUCAGCGGGGAGGAAGGGAGUAAAGUUAAUACCUUUGCUCAUUGACGUUACCCACAGAAGAAGCACCGGCUAACUCCGUGCCAGCAGCCGCGGUAAUACGAAGGGUGCAAGCGUUAAUCGGAAUUACUGGGCGUAAAGCGCACGCAGGCGGUUGGUUAAGUCAGAUGUGAAAUCCCCGGGCUCAACCUGGGAAUUGCAUCUGAAACUGCAAGGCUAGAGUGUGGUAGAGGGGGGGAGAAUUCCAGGUGUAGGAGUGAAAUGCGUAGAGAUGUGGAGGAAUACCGGUGGCGAUGGCAGCACCCUGGGCGAACACUGACGCUCAUGCACGAAGGCGUGGGGAGCAAACA